rnacentral:rRNA from 1 species
GAUGAGCAUGGACCUCCCAGUUCUACAGAAAUGUCAACCUCGUCUGUGUCUUUAUUGCGAUAGAUGAUGACUCCCAUUCGUCCUUAGGAAUCAGUCUGUCGGGAGUAGUGCAGACUGAACUAAGAAUGACGAGCACCACCAGAGUGGAGCUGCGCUAUUGACCCACGCGGGAAACUACCAGUCCAGACAUAGUAAGGAUUGACAGAUUGAUAGCUCUUUCUGAUUCUAUGGGUGGUGGUGCAUGGCCGUUCUUAGUUGGUGGAGUGAUUUGUCUGGUUAAUUCCGAUAACGAACGAGACCUUUAACCUGCUAACUAGAUAUUUUCAUUUUAUGAAUAUAUCUUCUUAGAGGGACUAUAUGCUUUAAGUAUAUGGAAGUUUGAGGCAAUAACAGGUCUGUGAUGCCCUUAUAUGUCAUGGGCUGCACGCGUGCUACACUGAGUGUAGUACAAACAAGUGCCUAGCUAGAUAUAGUAUGGCAAUCUCGAAUAUAUAUCGUGAUGGGGAUAGAUCUUUGCAAUUAUAGAUCUUGAACGAGGAAUUCCUAGUAAGUGCAAGUCAUCAUCUUGCAUUGAUUAUGUCCCUGCCCUUUGUACACACCGCCCGUCGCUCCUACCGAUACCGGGUGAUCCGGUGAACCUGUUGGACCCUUUUGGGAAAAAUAAGUAAAUCAUAUCACCUAGAGGAAGGAGAAGUCGAUGCAAGUAAUCUAGAGCAUCGCGAAUUACGAGCUCGAAUCACUGCAGCGUUGCCC